GACGAACGCUGGCGGCGUGCCUAAUACAUGCAAGUAGAACGCUGAAGGAGGAGCUUGCUUCUCUGGAUGAGUUGCGAACGGGUGAGUAACGCGUAGGUAACCUGCCUGGUAGCGGGGGAUAACUAUUGGAAACGAUAGCUAAUACCGCAUAAUAGUAGAUGUUGCAUGACAUUUGCUUAAAAGGUGCACUUGCAUCACUACCAGAUGGACCUGCGUUGUAUUAGCUAGUUGGUGGGGUAACGGCUCACCAAGGCGACGAUACAUAGCCGACCUGAGAGGGUGAUCGGCCACACUGGGACUGAGACACGGCCCAGACUCCUACGGGAGGCAGCAGUAGGGAAUCUUCGGCAAUGGACGGAAGUCUGACCGGGCAACGCCGCGUGAGUGAAGAAGGUUUUCGGAUCGUAAAGCUCUGUUGUAAGAGAAGAACGAGUGUGAGAGUGGAAAGUUCACACUGUGACGGUAUCUUACCAGAAAGGGACGGCUAACUACGUG
rnacentral:rRNA from 1 species